CAAAAUGUUGAUCAAAUUUCCUCCAAAAAAAUAAAAUAAAAAUACUGCGUCGGGCUGUCCAACCCAACUAAAACUCAAAAGAGAUAACGUUAGCCACUUUUGCAUAUCUUUUUUUAUUAAAAAAAAAUUAAUUAUUUUUCGCCACCAUCACCUGAACGCUCAGUCCUCUCUCUCCUUCAAAGCAAAUCGGUUCCCCAUCUCUCUCUUUUGUUCCAGACCCUUUCUCCCUUUAUUCUAUCGUUUUCAGCCCCAACCAAUGCCACCUCCGCCGGUCCCACCCAAAUUUUGAUCAAUUAAACACAAAUUUUUUGAAUUUGUUUGUUGAAAUUUUCUGGCAGAUAUUGCUUCCUACAGUUAAUAGCAGUUAGGACGCAAGUCGAUUCACCCUGCACAGGCACAGCCGUGAGUUUCCAUCAACCCUUGUCAACUUGAUUGUUUAUCUUUUAUAUUAUUAUUAUUGGUUGCUCAAGAAAGUAAAGAAAUUUAGGGGUAGUUGUUUUCCUUUCUAAAUUAGGCGUAAAAGGGAUCUUUCUUAUUCUCAUCUCGAUCAAUGCAGAUAGAUGUUGGGACAUUGUUUGUACCAUGGUCUUUCAAGAUGAAAUGCUGAAUUUUUAAAUUAUAACUUUUGUUCUUAGUUGCAUAUGCUUUAUAUUUAUGUUUUUUAUGAAAGGAAAGUAAAGGACGAGACUAAAUAGUUUUUUUUCUUUGGAAGUAAUGCCGUUAUGUUUCUAUGGAACUGGAACAGGUAUAUCCGGGAGGGAAGGAAUGCUUGUGGAAGUGGGCAAAGGAAUAUCCCACCCUAAUUUCCAACAAGUUUUAGAAUUAUUGUUGGCAAAGGGAGAGUUUUUGGCUUUUGCACCAGAUACAGAAGAGACGAAGACAAUGAUUAACUUAAUGUCAAUGAAAUUUCCCUUAUUGAAGAAGGAAAUGGGAGGACGGAUGUAAGCAAGGGUAAGCAAGAAAAUGAAAAGAAAACCAAGAACUAAAAAUGAAGGAGAAGACAAAAGUUAUUUCAACUUUGCUGUGUGGAGUAUAUGGAAGAGCAGAAAUUCAUAUGUCUUUAAUAGGAAAAAUCCAAAUCCAAAUCUGCCUAUGGAGAUCUACAACCAAACAUUGGAGUUUAUGUAUUGUGUGACUUCACCACGAAAUCCAGUCCGCAAAACUAGCAAAAGAAUCUGUUGGGAGAAACCUCCAUCAGGGUGGAAGAAGUUGAACACUAAUGGAUCGUCUAUAGGUUGUAUGGAGCAAACUGGAUGUGGAGGUGUAAUUAGGGAUGAGCAUGGAAAUUGGGUUGCAGGAUUCACAAGACACGCUGAGCAACUAACAACUUUACUGCUGAACUUUGGGAGCUUAGGGAUGGUCUUAUGUUGUGUUGUAGCUUGAAUAUACCUUGCCUUAUUUGUCUUAACAAUUUUUCCAACAACAUAGUCUUGUUCAACCAAAUGACUAUAAAAGAUAGAUUCCUACAUUCUACAUUUUAACAAAUUUACGUCAAUGACAUGUUUAUCUUAUUAUUUCAA